rnacentral:rRNA from 1 species
GAUGAACGCUGGCGGCGUGCUUAACACAUGCAAGUCGAACGAUGAAAGCGGGAGCUUGCUCCUGCUGGAUUAGUGGCGAACGGGUGAGUAACACGUGAGCAAUCUGCCCCGAACUCUGGGAUAAGCGUUGGAAACGACGUCUAAUACCGGAUACGACGCGCGAAGGCAUCUUCUGCGCGUGGAAAGAACUUCGGUUCGGGAUGAGCUCGCGGCCUAUCAGCUAGUUGGUGAGGUAACGGCCCACCAAGGCGACGACGGGUAGCCGGCCUGAGAGGGUGACCGGCCACACUGGGACUGAGACACGGCCCAGACUCCUACGGGAGGCAGCAGUGGGGAAUAUUGCACAAUGGGCGCAAGCCUGAUGCAGCAACGCCGCGUGAGGGACGACGGCCUUCGGGUUGUAAACCUCUUUCAGCACCGACGAAGCUUUCGGGUGACGGUAGGUGCAGAAGAAGGACCGGCCAACUACGUGCCAGCAGCCGCAGUAAGAC